AUGAUGCUUUAUGAAAUAAAGCAUCAUUAAAAUAAUCACACAUUAUUUAGUGAAAAUAACAUUUUAUUUGUUCUUUAGUUUGAAACAGCCGAAAUUUUCGUUAACCAAGCUACUAUCAAGCACUAUAUAAAAGAUUGGAAGAUUUAUAAAAGGGUGUGUUAAAACAUCAUCAACACAUUUAACAUUAGUUUUAUGUUUACCUUCAAUGUUUUGUAGUUGUCCGGUAUUAAUUUAUAGAACCUUUUUUAUACAGAAAAAAAACUUUGUUUUAAAACUUUAUUAAAACAGAAUUUGCGUUAUUGUAACUUUUUAUUUUUCAGGUUGGGGGGGGGGGGGGUUACACGCUCCUCCCGUACAUCAAUGCAAGUUGUGUAUUUGAAUUCCUGUAAAAUAUAGUUUUAUUAUGUAUACUAUUGAUUUCAAUGUAGAAAAGAUAAAAAUUUUAAUGAAAA